GGAAGGAUCAUUACUGAGGUUUCGGGGCUCCGCGAGGAGACUCUGGUUACCCGACCUUUUGUCAUGUGGUUGUUGGAGCUGGGCUUGCCGGACGGUCUGUGCGGCGUGCGCAUCCCGAUGUGGAUGAGUGCGUGGGACGGGCCGGACGGGUCAGGUCGUCCGACGAUUGAUAACUUCGGCGGAGGUGGCAGGCUUUGUUCGUGAGGAGCGAAGACCUGCCCGCCGCCGGCCGUAUGUCGAAACUCUUGUGAGAAGGAUGAAGUCUGACGAAAACGAGAAAUCUAAAAAAAGCAAAACUUUCAACAACGGAUCUCUUGGCUCUGGCAACGAUGAAGAACGCAGCGAAACGCGAAAGUUAAUGCGAAUUGCAGAAUCAGUGAGUCAUCGAGUUUUUGAACGCACAUUGCGCCUCUCGGUAUUCCGGGAGGCACGCCUGUUCGAGCGCCAUUUCACACCCCAAGCGAUGCUUGAUGUUGGACGAUGUUGGCCUGUCUGUCGACUCCCGUUGGGGAGUGGAGGGAAAGGGACGACACGUCUGGAACGCGUUGGCGCCGCCGCCGGACCACGAGCGUAGCAAGACGAUGAAAAAAGUCAAGUCGCUUGGUUGGAACCGGACGGACGGUGAUUGCUAGGAAGUUACUUUCCAAACGAAUUUGAAUGGUUUGGCCUCGGAUCAGGCGGGGAUACCCGCUGAACUUAAGCAUAUCAAUAAGCGGAGGAAAAGAAACCAACCGGGAUUGCCCCAGUAACGGCGAGUGAAGCGGCAACAGCUCAAAUUUGAAAUCUGGGACGUUUCGGUCUCCGAGUUGUAAUUUGCAGAGGAAGCCUCGGAGGGAUGGUCGGUCCAAGUGCCUUGGAACAGGAUACCGCAGAGGGUGAGAGUCCCGUAUCCGGCCGACGCAUCGCUCCGUGUGAGGCUCCUUCGACGAGUCGAGUUGUUUGGGAAUGCAGCUCUAAGCGGGUGGUAAAUUCCAUCUAAAGCUAAAUACUGGCCAGAGACCGAUAGCGAACAAGUAGAGUGAUCGAAAGAUGAAAAGCACUUUGAAAAGAGAGUCAAACAGUACGUGAAAUUGUUGAAAGGGAAGCGCAUGGGGGCAGACUUGGACGCGGGGUUCAGGGUGUCGACUUCGGCGCCUGUACUUCCCCGCGGACAGGCCAGCAUCGGUUCUGGGGGCCGGACAAAGGCGUUGAGAAAGUGGCCGCCUCGGCGGUGUUAUAGCUCGACGUGCAAUGCGGCCACCCGGGACCGAGGACCGCGCUUCGGCAAGGAUGCUGGCGUAAUGGCCUCAUGCGGCCCGUCUUGAAACACGGACCAAGGAGUCUAACAUCUAUGCGAGUGUUUGGGUGGCAAGCCCGGGCGCGCAAUGAAAGUGAACGGAGGUGGGAGCGCUGUGACAGGCGUGCACCAUCGACCGAUCCGGACGUUUUCCGAAGGAUUUGAGUAAGAGCAUAGCUGUUGGGACCCGAAAGAUGGUGAACUAUGCGUGAAUAGGGUGAAGCCAGAGGAAACUCUGGUGGAGGCUCGCAGCGGUUCUGACGUGCAAAUCGAUCGUCAAAUUUGCGUAUAGGGGCGAAAGACUAAUCGAACCAUCUAGUAGCUGGUUCCUGC
rnacentral:misc_RNA from 1 species